rnacentral:rRNA from 1 species
CACUAUACGGCGAAACUGCGAACGGCUCAUUAUAUAAGUUAUCGUUUAUUUGAUAGCACCUUGCUACUUGGGUAACCGUGGUAAUUCUAGAGCUAAUACAUGCCAAAAAAUCCCGACUUCGGAAGGGGAUGUGUUUAUUAGAUUCAAAAACCAAUGCCCCCUGGGCUCACUGGUGAUUCAUGAUAACCGCUCGAAUCGCACGGCCUUGCGCUGGCGAUGGUUCAUUCAAAUUUCUUCCCUAUCAACUUUCGAUGUUUGGGGUAGUGGCCAAACAUGGUUGCAACGGGUAACGGAGGGUUAGGGCUCGACCCCGGAGAAGGAGCCUGAGAAACGGCUACUACAUCCAAGGAAGGCAGCAGGCGCGCAAAUUACCCAAUCCCGACACGGGGAGGUAGUGACAAUAAAUACCGAUAUAGGGCUCUUUUGGGUCUUAUAAUUGGAAUGAGUACAAUUUAAAUCCCUUAACGAGGAACAAUUAGAGGGCAAGUCUGGUGCCAGCAGCCGCGGUAAUUCCAGCUCUAAUAGCGUAUAUUAAAGUUGUUGUGGUUAAAAAGCUCGUAGUUGAACCUUGGGCCUGGCUGGCCGGUCCGCCUCACCGCGUGCACUGGUCCGGCCGGGCCUUUCCCUCCGCGGAACCCCAUGCCCUUCGCUGGGCGUGGCGGGGAAACGGGACUUUUACUUUGAAAAAAUUAGAGUGCUCAAGGCAGGCCUAUGCUCGAAUACAUUAGCAUGGAAUAAUGAAAUAGGACGCGCGGUUCUAUUUUGUUGGUUUCUAGGACCGCCGUAAUGAUUGAUAGGGACAGUCGGGGGCGUCAGUAUUCAACCGUCAGAGGUGAAAUUCUUGGACCGGUUGAAGACUAACUACUGCGAAAGCAUUCGCCAAGGAUGUUUUCAUUAAUCAGGAACGAAAGCUAGGGGAUCGAAGACGAUCAGAUACCGUCGUAGUCUUAGCCAUAAACUAUGCCGACUAGGGAUCGGGCGAUGUUAUUCUUUGACUCGCUCGGCACCUUCCGAGAAAUCAAA